AUAUAUUACAUGCAAUAAAAAUAUGUCCAUUCAGUUUUAAUCUAUUCAUAUGUGAAUUUUAAGCUAUGUCUAUAACGAUGUUAUUUGAAUAAGAAUGCCACCUUCAGUAGCAACUACAGAUGUUAGUGAAUGUUCUCUCUUUUAGUAUUUCUUUCUUUUAUACAGCAAUUUCUAAAAAUAUAUCUAUAUUUGUCUGGGCCGGCAUUGAGCCAGAGGCAAGAAUGCUCUUGGGUAGACGUUCAAAUUGGAGGAGAAUUCGCCACGUGAUGGCUCUGACUUGGAGACCAGAAUCCUCUUAGAGAAGAGAGGAGACCUGGGCCGAAGGGAGAUGCUGAUGGCAGCGAGACAGAACGGAGAUUCCCCCGGCCAGGCUCCAUGGAGCCCUCCUGUCCAUCCACGCCUCGCCUGGCCUGUGAGGAUGUGGACGAACACUAACGGUUUCUAAGAGCUCAAGCUGCACCCCUAGGUGGACCCUGGGGCCCCCUGAAGUGCUGGCCUGGGAAAACUCAGCCUAAACAGGUUACCGUGGCCCCCGCCAGCUCCUGAUGGUAGAACCCUGUCCUGAUGGUAGGACCCUGUCCAUCGGCCUGACAACUUGCAGAUGUAAAAGGCAGUGUUGUUAUCCACAGUCACCAUGCGGUGUCCCAGUCCCAGGACCUGUAUUAUAACCGGAAGUUUGCACCUUCUGAAGAAGGCAUGAGCCUGACUUCGGUGUUUCCUGGUUCACAAACCCAGGUCCAGGCAGCAGGAAGCCAUUCCUCGUCAUGGACCGGCGGGAAGGAAACCCCGGUGACGGAAAAGGCAGUGGAGACCUCAGCAAACGACAUGGAGACGUGGGCUGUGAGGUGACACGCCCCGGAGGUGAGGUAAUGAAGGGGGCUGCCGGCCUCCCCGGCUGAGAGAAAAUAUCAUUGAUCGAACGUGGGAGGCAUCUGGGAAGGCAUUUGCCGGAACAGUAGGUGCCUGUGAGUCUCAGGGGAUGUGACCAUUGAAGUGACUUGAGCGAAGUAGCCAGGUGGGCCCAGCAGCAGCCGCCGGAGGCACCGGAGGCAGAGUGUGCGAACGUCUGCUGCCAUUGACUCAGUUUCUUCUCCUCCUCUUUCCGCUCCUGCGGCCCAACAAGCCAGAUCGAAAGGACGACGCGAUGUGGCCAAAUCCGCUCACCUCCGUCCUUGCGGUCGCUGACGCUGCGCCAGUCCCUCCUGGUCACCCAGGUAUGAUUAUGCAAAGCUAAGAAUCCAAGAAAGAAUCUCCAGAGAAGGAAUUAAAAAGUAAGAUUUUAGGUGAAAGUUCCCAUCUCGAUCCUGAAAGAAAACACACCAACUGAGCAGAGUCUCCAGCACAGAGACCCCAGGACAACUCAGUGUGCACCGUGAGGAGGCUUUCAAUCAAGCAAAUAAAGCCUGGUGUAUAUCAUUAAGGACAAAGACAAUGUACCCUUCGUUUUUAAGGUCCAUCCACGCUGUUGCAAAUGGCAGGAAAAGAAGGCACAAGAAGCCAGUCCGCCCAAGGAGGCAUUGCCGUCAGAGCUAGAGCGUGAGUCCGCCUGCGUCUGUGCCCCAGGGCUUGUCCCGGCGGGGGGGGGGGGGGGGGGCGGCUGUAGAGGUGUGUGCUUUCCUGCUCUCUCAGUGUGCGUGCCCACAGAGCCAUCCACGCACGACUGAUUGAUUGAUUGAUUGAUUGAUUGUCCAUCGCGUUUUCCUAGCCAUCCCCGUGAUCGGAGUGGACUUCCUAUGCCUAGGGCAUUGCCUCGCAGUCGUCACUAGGCCAGGGAGGCAUAUUUUGUCAUGUUCUAAACGCCUUCACAUGUUACUUCCCUUGAAAUGUAAGAACUACUAGAAAGGGCAAUUUUUUUUUUGUCAUCAAAAACUGUUCAACAU